CUGUGCUACUUCUGUAAUUGAUGGAUAGGCAUCAAAUGCAUGGAUAGAAGGGAUUUCAAUAUUGACUAUAUUUGUUGGCCAUCCAGAGUAAUUUAAGUGAAAUUCAUGCUCUUCACAUUGAUAAGUCUGAUGACUUUUCCUGGAUGCCCCAGAGAAAUGUUUCCAGUAUGGAUUAUCGGCUGUACAAUACUUUGAAAAUGGCAUCAUCCAUAAUGAGGACGCAAAAGAAUUCGACAUCAAUCGAGCUGUACCCUGGUACCUCAGAAACAGGAAGACCAAAUGUGUUUCCAAAAAGUGUUGCUUUGACCGUCUCAGUUGCACCAAGAAGAGGAGCUCCAACUGCAAAAUAGGCAUGAAUGUGAUCGUCCAGCCAUUGACUGUAAUGCUUUGGAGCAAUUUCUAGCUUUAACCAUUCCAGAAAGUAGCGGAAGACAUAGUUACCCAAAGAAUGGGCAAAUACAAUUGAGGGUCCUCCACGAAGUUUAUGUGCAG
rnacentral:misc_RNA from 1 species